CCGGGGAAGAUUCAAGAACCGAAUCUAAGAGAUUCUUAGCGGAGGACGUGAAUUGAUCUCUUUGUUCUAAGGCUUUUUCGUCGAGUGCGCGAUCAUGACAGGACUCGAGGAAGAAGCCCCGGCUAACUCCGUGCCAGCAGCCGCAGUAAGACGGGGGGGCAAGUGUUCUUCGGAAUGACUGGACGUAAAGGGCAUGUAGGCAGUGAAUCGGGUUGAAAGUGAAAGUCGCCAAAAACUGGCGGAAUGCUCUCGAAACCAAUUUACUUGAGUGAGACAGAGGAGAGUGGAAUUUCGUGUGUCUUUUAAGAGAAGGGUGAAAUCUCGAAAUCCACGAAGGAACGCCAAAAGCGAAGGCAGCUCUCCGCCUAUUCCCUAUGGAAAGGUUCGAUAGCUGUUUCAGUACUGGUUAGAGCUGAUCAUGGGCUGGGUGGCCCGGCCUGGCUCGAAGGCCCGCUCGAAAAAUGAGAGGGUUUGGGUAAAAAUAUAGGC
rfam:Gossypium arboreum cultivar AKA8401 contig_180377_1, whole genome shotgun sequence.